rnacentral:lncRNA from 1 species
GAAAAGAUGAUAUAAUUCGUCUGGUGGAAUUAAAAAGAAAUGAAAUAAAUAAAUAAAAUUCCCAAUGUGUAAAAACAAAAAUAAAAAUUUAAAACAUAAAAUAAAAUAAGAUUAGUAAAUCAGUAAUAUUCAAAUAAAUUAGCCAUUACGACAACUGCUGGCAGGAGGAGCAAAAGAGUAGAAGUGCUGGCAAAUAUGAUCCAG